AUCUUGGUGGUAGUAGCAAAUAAUCGAAUGAGAUCUUGGAGGACUGAAGUGGAGAAGGGUUUCGUGUGAACAGUGGUUGAUCACGAGUUAGUCGGUCCUAAGYCCUAUGCGAAAGCUGUUUAAAUUAUGUUAUUAUUUUUUYAAAUAUAUAUAAACACAUAAUCUAAAUCGGRCGAAAGGGAAUACGGUUCCAAUUCCGUAACCUGUUGAGUAUACGUUUGUUUACUAAAAGUGGGUCUUAUUACACUCAUCCUGGCAACAGGAACAACCAUAGAGAAGCCUUCGAGAGRUAUUGGAAGAGUUUUCUUUUCUGUUGAACAAUCGUAUAACCAUGGAAGUCUUUCACAGAGAGAUAUGGUUAAUGGAUUGGAAGAACAUGACAUUUACUGUUGUGUCAAUAUUUUCUCCUUGGACCUUGAAAAUCUAUGGUGGGGCCACGCAAAUUUCUCAACAGACCGUACCGAUAUCCGCAGCCGGUCUCCAAGGUGAAGAGUCUCUAGUCGAUAGAAUAAUGUAGNAAUGA
rnacentral:rRNA from 1 species